AGCGAACGUUAGCGGCAGGCUUAACACAUGCAAGUCGAACGAGAACAGGGCUUCGGCCCCUAGUAAAGUGGCGGACGGGUGAGUAACACGUGGGUAAUGUACCCUUCGGUGGGGGAUAACAGUCCGAAAGGAUUGCUAAUACCGCAUACGUCGACCGGGUCUCUGGACCUGGUCGGGAAAGAUGGCCUCUCUAUAGACGCUAUCUCCGGAGGAGCAGCCCGCGUCCCAUCAGCUUUGGGCGGGGUAACGGCCCACCAAGGCAUAGACGGGUAGCUGGUCUGAGAGGAUGAUCAGCCACACUGGAACUGAGACACGGUCCAGACUUCUACGGAAGGCAGCAGUGGGGAAUAUUGGGCAAUGGGCGCAAGCCUGACCCAGCCAUGCCGCGUGAGUGAUGAAGGCCUGGUCGUAAA
rnacentral:rRNA from 1 species